CGUUCCUACGGGAGGCAGCAGUCGAGAAUCGUUCACAAUGGGGGAAACCCUGAUGGUGCGACGCCGCGUGGGGGAAUGAAGGUCUUCGGAUUGUAAACCCCUGUCAUGUGGGAGCAAAUUAAAAAGAUAGUACCACAAGAGGAAGAGACGGCUAACUCUGUGCCAGCAGCCGCGGUAAUACAGAGGUCUCAAGCGUUGUUCGGCAUCACUGGGCGUAAAGCGUGCGUAGGCUGUUUCGUAAGUCGUGUGUGAAAGGCGCGGGCUCAACCCGCGGACGGCACAUGUUACUGCGAGCCUCGAGUAAU
rnacentral:rRNA from 1 species